rnacentral:lncRNA from 1 species
CUCUGCUCCUGCAUGACACAAGCACCUGGUUCUGGGGCUCGAAGCUGGAACUGCCUCUCCUGCUUGUGGAGGGCUUGGGGACUGCCAAGGCUGGUGGCUGGGGAGCUGACAGACUGGCUUCUCUUUGGAUAUUGGCAUCCAGCCUUCUGGCAAACUGGGAUUCAGAAUGGCAGAAUAUAGACGCCGUGAAUCUAGUGUCAAUAACAGACCGAUACAGGGGACAACUCAAGCUGAAGGAGGUUCGCCGUGCAGAAAGGGCUUGCUUCUCGCCAAGCGCAGUAGCCAAGGAAACCACCACCGAGGACUGGCCCAGAUAGAAGUGGCGUGGCAUGGCGCCUCUCCUUCCAAUCCGCUGGGCAACAACGUGGCCCAUCGGUGCUGAAGUUUUUAACAAUCUCCUUUGAAAUGUAACUCAUUAUACAAAAGCAGAACUAAAUAAAAAAUACUCCAGAGAGGGAACAGAUUGUUAGCUAUAGAUUAGAAGUGUAGCCUAAUCCUUCACAAGCAUUAAAUAUUUAACAUCAUUGCACCACAGGUGCCAAGAAGAUGUCAGCAUUGUUUAAUUAGACUUAAUUAAACAUAAGGAAAAAUCUAAUACUAACGCAGGUCGAGUUUUUUAAUCGAUUUCAAAACCUCCCCCUUCGCGGUCCCCAUGCAUUCUCCAUAUUUUAUCUCACCCUCUUACUAACCAGAAACAGUGGCGGGUAGGAGUUGAGAAGCGGGUUCCUGAGAAAAGUGAGAAGGAGGCGCUGUCUGUGAGCAACUGGACUGUAUGAAUGGACUGAGCCAAAAAUAUUUUUGCAGAGUAAAGAAAUUGCGUGGGCCGGG